CUUCCUUUGCUCCCGUGAAGCUGGUUCUAUGGAAAGACAUUGGGUUAUCCCUCCCAGUUAAAAAUGUUGCUCCCUCCACUUAGAAGACUAAGGAAGAACCAGAGUGAAGGAAGCCCCAUGGGCAGGAAGAGGACUCAUUUGGGCUCAAGACAUUCAGUCCAACCUAGCUCACAAGGAUGGAUGAGAUCAUGAUUCGGGACCAUAACUUGUCACUUGUGCACAUACUCUAAACGGUGGCGUUUUUCAAGGAGUGGGCAUGUGGCCUAUUUCUGGCCCUAUGAAGCAAAAGGAGAGGUCUGCUGGGAGACUUCCUGAAACUGCUCUUCCUGGAAGGAGGGAAACAAACAAAACAACAACAAAAGAACUUUACAAGAGAAAGCUUUUUAUCCCAGCCCCUUCCUACUCCCAUUGAAUGCAGCUCUGUGAGGACACGAUAUUUGAAGCUGCAGUAGCUGAGGUGGCAAAAGAUGGCAGAACAGAAGAGCAGACAGAAUCUGGGUCCUAGAUGACUUCAUUGCACUGCUGCAACUGCCUUCUCCAGACCUCUUGCCAGGCCUGUGGUUCCCUAUGGAAACACUGACAAGAACAGGUGGAAGAAAUAUGUGGUCUUCGGUUAAAAACUCUUCAGGGUUCAAAGAAGGGCACUCUCACAUCAUGUGAUGGGUGAGCUCUAGUCAUUCUGUGAGAGGAACUCCAGGAGACCAGAUCCAACUCGCAAUCAGCUAUAGUGAAGUUAUGAUAUGAGAAGCACCAACUUGGCACAAGACUUGGGAAAGGCAAUGAGGCAGCAGGCAAGCUUUAAGGGAUGACACUUACCUUGAGGGAGCAAGGACAAGUUGUGACCUUCCCAGUCCUCUCUCCAUUUGCAGAUCAGCAAGCUUCUGUCAGCAAGGAGGGGUGGACAAUGAAACUGGGUUCAGCUUGAUUUGUUUUUUGAGACAGGUAUGGCAAGGGGCUGCCAACAAGAUCAAGCUGCAGAGGAAACAGCCACCUGGGGCGUGUUCUUACGUUGCCUGGAAGCUGCACAAGAGGCCAAGUCAAAACAUGCAGAAUUCCAGUUGCCCAUGAUGUCACAGGCUGAGGCCCACACUCCAGAGACACUGUGGACUGACUGGCACCUAUGAGCUGACCUAAUAACAGUUACACCAUUACAGCUCCGAUUCUACAGAACAAUACAUAUCCAGUUCUUAUCUAUGCUUUGCAUGUGCUCUUUGAAACACAACCCUUCCCUAAACAGAAUUCUCUACCUGUUACCAUAUCUAGAGUGUAGGGCUCAGGGAAGACAGUAAAGGACACAGACUCUGAGAAAUGAACAUGAACUAGGGCUUAGAUGAAUAAAUGGAGCUACAACAAUAGUUAUAUUUUAGUGCAACUUCUGAAAAUUAAACUAAAGGAUCCACGGGUGUGGAAGACACAAUACCAGGGUGUGAGUCAGGGGAUGAGUGCUCAAGAAUGUUCUGUGUUUCCCAAAUCCACUAUAUGAAUGGCACGACCACUUUCCCAGGCAACUCAGUCUAAAACACUAGUUAGUUCUAACUUCUCACCUCCACGCAGUCACUUCCUAAUCCCACCUCUACGGCCUCUUUUAUUAUGCCUCUCUUUUCCCCUCGCCUUCCCCUUGUCAAGCUUUCCUCCCUGCCACACUCUAGUUCCUCCUCAGCACCUCCAAGCCAGCUGAUUGCAACAGGCUCCUAACAGAGCUUCUGACCUCCAGAAUGAGCAACACAAGCCAAAAGAUCUAGGUCCAAUUCUCGUCCCAACACUCACUAAUUUGAUCAAUUUGUAUAAAAAAAUCAUUUAUCUCUCUGAGCCUAUUUUAUUUCUCUGUGAAACAGGAAAAUAAAAGAUACUUCAACCAGGCGCGGUGGCUCACACCGGUAAUCCCACCACUUUGGGACGCCGAGGCAGGCGGAUCACGAGGUCAGGAGAUCGAGACCAUCCUGGCAAACAUGGUGAAACGCCAUCUCUACUAAAAAUACAAUAAUUAGCUGGGUGUGGUGGCACGUGCCUGUAAUCCCAGCUACUCAGGAGGCUGAGGCAGGAGAAUCGCUUGAACCAGGUAGUCGGAGGUUGCAGUGAGCCAGAUUAUGCCACUGCACUCCAGCCUGGCAACACAGUGAGACUGUGACGAUGAAGAGACAACAGCUAUGAUAGCCCUUUGUCAGGCAUAGGACACUGUGCAAAUGAUGGUGAUGUUUUACUUGAUCAGCAUCCAUCUGAUACUCUGAAGCAUAAGUCAGAACAUGGCACUCUUUUCUGUAAAACUAUUCAAUGAUUCCCCCAUGACUGUAGAAUAAAGUCCAAAUUAUUUGCCAAGAUUCUUCACAAUCCAGUUCCAACUAUCUUCCCAGCUGCAUUUUUGCUCCUCACACUGUCUAACUCAACCAUCAAGAAUUAGCUCAAAAGGUACCUCUUCCAAAACCCAACCCUGACCUUUCCAACCAGAAAGAAUCUCUUUUUUUCCCCUCAAGUACUGGGGCCCUUUCUAUGAACUUUUCCUCCAGGGCAUUCAUUUGUCACUUUCUACUUCAGACUCAUCUAUUUAUAGCUACCGCUUAUUAAGGCCAUACUACAUAUCCCAAUGUUGUGCUAGACCCUUGCAUCUAUUUCUUCUGAACAAAAUAGCAACUCUCAAAAUAGCAAUGGAAUUAAUCCCAUUUAGUUGACAAAACUGAUGCUACCAAGUUGCAAGAGGAAAUUCAAGGACAAGGAUAAAUUUCAAAGCUCAUGUUUUUCUAUGAUGCCUGUUGUCUUCCAUGGCCUUGUUUAUGGUCCUUGACUUACGAUCUGAUUGGACUCUUGAAUCCUUUUUUAGUAGAUUCAGUCUGAUUUAUCUUUGGUAUCCCUCACAGACCCAGCACAGAACUAUGCAUAGAAGAUGCUCAAUGCUUGUUAAGCAAAUAAUUGGCUUCUUUUGACCUCUAUGGGUCUCAGGUCCUCAGCUAUAAAAUUGGUAGUAUCAAAGAGCUGGUCAUAUACUGUGUAGAGAUCGACUUAUUUGUAAAUGUUUCCAGAACACUUAUGUGCCAGGCACUGUUCUAAGCAUCUCAUCUAUCGAUCCUCAUAAAAAGCCUCCAAGAAGUAUGACUAUUAAGCCCAUUUUAUACUUUAGAAAACUAAGUUUUUAAGCAGGGUGGCAAAACUUGAACCCAGGCAGACUGUGUCCAGAACCCACAUUCUCAACCAAUAUGCACUACUGCCUACAUAAAUUUGGAGCCCAGGAAAAUCAACUGAAAAACCAUUAGAAAUGGCAAUAGACUCAAAACAUGGUUGGUACCAGAAUUAAUAUGUAAAAAUAAUAUAUAAUAUACAUAGCAAGUAUAUAUACACAUGUACUAUAUAUAUGCAUUACAUAUCCAUAUCUGUAUCUAUAUUAUCUAUAUUAUAAUGACUGCUUUCAUGUACAUGAUCACCAAUGAACUAAGGGAGUAAAAGAUCCCAGUCAAAAGGGAAAAAAAUAAGCAACUCAAAUAUCUAGAAAUAAAUUUCAGAAAUAUGCAGAAUAUACACACAUACUACAAAAUUCUACCAAAGGGUAAUUAAAAAGUCAUUAAUAAACAGAAAAAUAAUGCUUAGGUGGAAAGACUUGGUAAUAGAGCUCCCUUUCUCCAUAAUUAAUCUCUAUAUUUAACAUCUGAAUUUAAUUUACUUCGAGGGAGUGUCACAGUUCAACAACUAGGCACUUUAAUAUAAAUUGGUGCAAUCUUUGGAGGAAAUGUUGGGGUGUUGGGGCAGUAUCUAUAAAAAUUUUAUAAGUGCAUCCCCUUUGACAUAACGAUCCUACUUCUAGGAAUCUACUCUGCAGAAAUGCCAACACAUGCUACCAAAGAUGGAUAAGAAAUGUUGAGUGCUGUUUUGUAUGCAGUAGGAAGAAAAAGAGAAAGAGGGGCAGAGGAACAAAGGGAGAAAGGGAAGAAAGGAAGGAAGGAAGAAAAAGGAAAGAAGACAGAAAGAGAGAAGGAGAGAGUGAGGAAGAGGGUGGGAGGGUGGAAGGAAGAAAGGAAGAACUGCAGGCAAAUGAAAUGCCUAGCAAAGGGAACAGAUUUUUAGAGAAUCAUAAAAGGGUAUGCUGUGGAAAUGUUAAGAAGAGAAAGGUUUAAAUAUGUUGACAUAAAAGAAAUCUUAGCUAGGUUUGUGCUUUGGACUGAAUGUUUGUCCUCCUCCUGCCCAGCCAAAAUUCGUGUUAUAAAUCCUAAUCUCCAAUAUGAUGGUAUUUGGAGAUGGGGUCUUUGGAAGGUAAUCAGGUCAUAAGGGUGCAGACCUCAGUAAUGCAUGUUCUUUAUUAGUGUCCUUAUAAGAAAAGACAGGAGAGAUCACUUCUCUUCUCUGCUUUCUCACAUGUAAACCGGAAAGAGAGCCCUCACCAAAACUUGACCAUGCUGGCACCCUGAUCUGGAACUUCCAGCUUUCAGAAUUUUGAGAGAUAAAUGUGUCUGUUGUUUAAGCCACCUAGUCUUUGAGAAUGUGUUACAGCAGCUCAAGUAGACUAAGACCAGAAGGGAGAAAUGCAAACUAUAUCAGUGCAAAUUACAGAAAAAUGUACAGAGAUAUGACCAUUUUAUUUUUAAUGUGGAGUAUAAUUUAGUGAAGGAGAAAAGAAGGGUAUGGGGAUGGCAAUUUCCUGUUUUGAUAUCUACACUUCUGCAAAGAUCAUUACUUUUAUAAUCAUAAUUAAGCAUUUGAUUCAACACUGAGUCUUGUGUUAGACACUGGGAAGGUGAACAUGACAGUCAGGGCACCUGUUAAGUCCAUUUUUAAAUUUGUGAUUUAAGUUGCUAUAGCUAUAAUAAAUUAAAUG
rnacentral:lncRNA from 1 species